CAGUAGCCGCGGUAAUACGUAGGUGGCAAGCGUUGUCCGGAAUUAUUGGGCGUAAAGGGCUCGCAGGCGGUUUCUUAAGUCUGAUGUGAAAGCCCCCGGCUCAACCGGGGAGGGUCAUUGGAAACUGGGAAACUUCAGUGCAGAAGAGGAGAGUGGAAUUCCACGUGUAGCGGUGAAAUGCGUAGAGAUGUGGAGGAACACCAGUGGCGAAGGCGACUCUCUGGUCUGUAACUGACGCUGAGGAGCGAAAGCGUGGGGAGCGAACAGGAUUAGAGACCCCAGUAGUCCCUGUCUCUUAUAC
rnacentral:rRNA from 1 species